rnacentral:rRNA from 1 species
UACAGAGGUCCCAAGCGUUACGGAGAAUCACUGGGUUUAAAGGGUGCGUAGGUGGUCCGUUAAGUCAGUUGUGAAAUCCCCGGGCUCAACCCGGGAACUGCUUCUGAUACUGGCGGACUUGAGGCCAGUAGAGGUCACUGGAACUGACGGUGGAGCGGUGAAAUGCGUAGAUAUCGUCAGGAACGCCGGUGGUGAAGACGGGUGACUGGGCUGGUUCUGACACUGAGGCACGAAAGCGUGGGGAGCGAACGGG